rnacentral:rRNA from 1 species
AGAUUGAACGCUGGCGGCAUGCCUAACACAUGCAAGUCGAACGGGAGUAGCAAUACUCUAGUGGCGAACGGGUGAGGAAUACGUAGGAAUUUGCCCUUAAGUGGGGGAUAACCCGGGGAAACCCGGAUUAAUACCGCAUGACCUCGAAAGAGCAAAGUGGGGGAUCGCAAGACCUCACGCUUUUGGAGAAGCCUACGUCGGAUUAGCUAGUUGGUGAGGUAAUGGCUCACCAAGGCGACGAUCCGUAACUGGUCUGAGAGGAUGAUCAGUCACACCGGAACUGAGACACGGUCCGGACUCCUACGGGAGGCAGCAGUGGGGAAUAUUGGACAAUGGGCGCAAGCCUGAUCCAGCAAUGCCGCGUGUGUGAAGAAGGCCUCGGUUGUAAGUACGA